rnacentral:rRNA from 1 species
UACGUAGGGGGCAAGCGUUGUCCGGAUUCAUUGGGCGUAAAGGGCGUGUAGGCGGGAAGGAAAGUCAGAUGUGAAAUCCCUGGGCUCAACCCAGGAACUGCAUUUGAAACUCCCUUUCUUGAGUGUCGGAGAGGAAAGUGGAAUUCCUGGUGUAGAGGUGAAAUUCGUAGAUAUCAGGAGGAACACCGGUGGCGAAGGCGGCUUUCUGGACGACAACUGACGCUGAGACGCGAAAGCGUGGGGAGCAAACAGG